rnacentral:snRNA from 1 species
AUCGCUUCUCGGCCUUUUGGCUAAGAUCAAGUGUAGUAUCUGUUCUUAUCAGUUUAAAAUGUGACCAUAAAGCAAACGAGAUAGGAACCAUAUAUAAGGGAACAGACACUAACAACAACUGGCGGUCAGAAGGUCAAGGCUGUCCUGAACAUUACUGAUAGGCUUUUUUAGGAGGUCUUGACAAGAAUUAUA